UACGUAGGGUGCGAGCGUUGUCCGGAAUUACUGGGCGUAAAGAGCUCGUAGGUGGUUUGUCGCGUUGUUCGUGAAAACUCACAACUCAAUUGUGGGCGUGCGGGCGAUACGGGCAGACUGGAGUACUGCAGGGGGAGACUGGAAUUCCUGGUGUAGCGGUGGAAUGCGCAGAUAUCUGGAGGAACACCGAUGGCGAAGGCAGCCCCCUGGGCCGACACUGACGCUCAGGCACGAAAGCGUGGGGAGCAAACAGG
rnacentral:rRNA from 1 species